rnacentral:lncRNA from 1 species
UCAAGAAUGUCUUCGCAUUGUUGGCGACACACUUCUCGCCGCUGCCCUUGGAGCGUGCUGCGGCAGGAGUUGCGGCCGACUUCAAUGUGGACUUGCUUCAAGAACUAGCUGACCAGUAUGACAAUGUAGCCAAAAACAUUGUAAACAACCUUGACCUAUAAAAUUAAACUAUGUGGUGUAUCAAACUAUUUGGAAAGACAUGUGAUGUAAUUAACUUGACGUAUGCGAGGA